rnacentral:rRNA from 1 species
GUAGGCUGAAACUCGCCUACAUGAAGCUGGAGUUACUAGUAAUCGCAGAUCAGAAUGCUGCGGUGAAUGCGUUCCCGGGUCUUGUACACACCGCCCGUCACACCACGGAAGUUGGGGGCGCCCGAAGCCACUUAGCUAACCCUUUUGGGAAGCGAGUGUCGAAGGUGAAAUCAAUAACUGGGGUGAAGUCGUAACAAGGUAUC